rnacentral:rRNA from 1 species
GUGAGGAAUAUUGGACAAUGGCCGGAAGGCUGAUCCAGCCAUGCCGCGUGCGGGAAGACGGCCCUAUGGGUUGUAAACCGCUUUUGUUGGGGAGCAAUAAGGAGCACGUGUGCUUCGAUGAGAGUACCCAGCGAAUAAGCAUCGGCUAACUCCGUGCCAGCAGCCGCGGUAAUACGGAGGAUGCAAGCGUUAUCCGGAUUUAUUGGGUUUAAAGGGUGCGUAGGCGGACUUUUAAGCGUGAGGUGAAAUGCGCGGGCUCAACCUGUGAACUGCCUCGCGAACUGGGAGUCUUGAAUGUCCGUGCCGUGGGAGGAAUGUGUGGUGUAGCGGUGAAAUGCAUAGAGAUCACACAGAACACCGAUUGCGAAGGCAUCUCACGAACGGAUGAUUGACGCUGAGGCACGAAAGCGUGGGGAUCAAACAGG